UACAUAGGGGGCAAGCGUUAUCCGGAAUUAUUGGGCGUAAAGAGUGCGUAGGCGGUUGAUUAAGUCUGGUGUAAAAUCCCACAGCUUAACUGUGGAGGGUCAUUGGAAACUGGUCAACUUGAGUACGGUAGAGGUAAGCGGAAUUCCAAGUGGAGCGGUAAAAUGCGUAGAUAUUUGGAGGAACACCGGUGGCGAAGGCGACUUACUGGGCCGGAACUGACGCUGAUGCACGAAAGCGUGGGGAGCAAACAGG
rnacentral:rRNA from 1 species